CAGCCUUUGAAAGGAAUUAUUCAUGGCCCCUUGGAAUCAAGAUUUUCUUUCAGAGAAAAUAGCAAUUGUCAGAUUUGUUUUUCUUUUAGAUGUGUGAUGCUGGAAAUCCUCGCCACAGUUGCCCACACAGCUGGUUCCACUUGUGUGACUUUGCAUCAUAGCUCCUCUUAAUGGCAGUGCCACCUCCAUUGGCCUCUGCACCUCACUGAAGACUUAAUUUAGAAAAUUAACUCAUUUUGCACAGCUACUGAGCAGCUGUUUGGAGGUACUUCCUUCUAGUGACUUACAGCUUGAACUAGAUUGAGAGUUCCAAAUUGGCUCUUAUUUACCUCCAAAUUUCCUCUUAUUUAUCUCCAAAGUCAUAUAGCCUCUAUUAAAUUUGAUUCAAUAUACUUCAUAUACUUUUACUCUUGUUAAUGUUCAAAUGAUCACAUUUUCUGAAUCAAAGGUUGGAAUAUACUGUAUGAUAUAUGGUCCAAUUUGGGGGGCUAAUAUAUCUAGUAGAUAUAUACAUAUACACAGUAUGUAUAUAUAAACACACAUCUAUAUACUCACACACACAUAACAUAUAUGUUUUAAGUAUGUAGAGUUCAUACUUGGUUUGUUGCUAUACCUUUUUACUAUUAAGUGGAUGGAUCUCUUCCUCUUUAAGAUCUCAAUUUAAAAACAAGUUUAGUAUCCUUCAAAUUGUAGCACUGAACUUUUUUUUUUUUUUUGUCUUUUUGUCUUUUUAGGGCCGCACCCAUGGCAUGUGGAGGUUCCUGGGCUAGAGGUCUAAUCGGAGCUGUUACUGCUGGCCUACGCCAGAGCCACCACAGCAAUGCCAAAUCUGAGCUGAGUCUGUGACCUACACCACAGCUCACGGCAAAACCAGAUCCCUAACCCACUGAGAGAGGCCAGGGAUUGACCCCUCAACUUCAUGGUUCCUAGUCAGAUUUGUUUCCACUGAGCCAUGAUGGGAACUCCCAGCACUGAACUUUUGGCCCCAAAGUGGGUAAAUCUGAUUAGAAUAUAAGAGUUUUUAAUUAUUAAUAGUUAUUGAUAGUAAUGAUGAUAUAGGAGGAUGCAUUUAAAUUUGGAGAAAUAUUCAGAUAAGUGGCUCUAUGAUUGUUUAUUCUUGGUUCAUAAUAAAACAUAUCCAAGGGCUCUGUUAACUUUGGUUUGGGAUCAAACAGUUGUUUACUAAUGUGGCUUGGUCCUCCAUUCUUGGCAGAGAAUCCUCUGCCCUUAAAAAGAAUCACAGUCUCUGAGAUCUUGGUGAUAAGUAUUCAGAAGGGGCAUCAUCUGCCUUCCCAGGAAGAAGCCUGUGCCUUAUUUGUUCCUCUCUUUGUACUUGGGAUCCAACAAGUAGGGAUUUGUCGGGAGAGAAGUGUCUCCGCCUUUAGUCCUGUGAUCAGGUGUUGCUCAUCUGAGUGGGUAGAUUAGUGAUGCGUGAAUUACAAAAGUAGGUUUCCUUGGAAGCCCUGGCUUCUCUCAACAACUGGUUGAAGUUUUGCCUUAAGACUGUCCAGAAGAUGAAAGUAAAACUUAGUGAAAAAUUGGGGCUAUGUGAAAUUUUAGCGCCCAUUUAAUAUGUCUUUUAGAAGAGAUGGAAAUUUUGAGAACUUGACAAGAAUAUGCAUGAGUCCACAUACGCAGGUUGUGACAUGUGUGAGGUUGGAAGACUUGGGUAAGUAUAGGGACUGAAAGUUGUUUUCUUGGUCCUGUUAUCUCCCCACUUCCUCAUUCAGGUGUUGUACCCUGUUUUAAGCUCUAUCUUCUUUCUUUAAAUAUAUAGAUUUGGGUGGUUCAGAAUGUUAGUCCAUUUGAGUGUUGCGUAGUACCUUACAUUUCAUUAAUUUGUUGAGUAUUGUUUUCAAGGAGCAAUGAUGUUCUGAGAAUCUUUAAAGAUAUUCAUAGUUAAGGACAGAAUUCUUAGUAUUUGUGAAUUGUCUUGAGCAGUAAGAUCAUUCUAAGAACUAACUCUAAAGCAUGGGGCUGAAAGCAUCAAAACUUUUUACUAUGUUUUUAGGAUGUACUGCUUCUUUGUCAUGGGGCAGUUUCAAACUCUAGACUCCAGGCAAAGAUACAGGAGCUUGUGGAUAUAGUCUCAUAUAGCAAACAUUCACUUCGAUACAGGUUAUUCUGGGGCCCUAGCCAAGAUUUUCAUUUUUCUCUUACUUUGUCAAUUUUCAGAUAUACUGAAAGGACUUCACUAUACCUUCAUCUUUGAAUAAUAUAAAUCCUAAAGAUGAGGUAGUAGGAGGCUUUCACGUGCUGCAUACUUUUGUGGGCUGCAGGGAAUUAGUCUCUAGCAGUUUUCCCAAUGGGUCUCAUAAACAGUUAAUAGUUAUUAGUUGAAAAAAGCAGUCAUUUUGAAAGAUUGAGUUAAACAAAGUUAAACUAAUUUCUUUGCAAUGGUACUUCUUAGAGGCAACAAAAUGCUAAUGUGUACAGUGAAUUUCCAAAAGGUUGAUAUGUGGACUUUCAUUUUAAACAUAACGCCCCAUCCUCUACUCAUUUUAUUUCUUUGCACAGAAUCUCAUUGGAUUUUUAUUAUGCAGAACAAAAUUUGGUCAAUACUGUUUAUAGAAUCUAGAAAGGAUUAACUUUUGAAAAUUUAUGUUAAAAUUCUGUAAUAACUCUCUUGAGUCUGGGCUUCUAGGUCUGGAUAAGUGCUUCUAAAACUUUAAUAUGCAUGCAGAUUUGUUGGCUAGCCUGUUAAUAUGAAGAAUUUGAUUCAGUUGGUCUCAGUGGGGGCAGUGAUUUCGCAUUACUAACAAGCUCCCAGGUGAUAUUGAUGCUACUGACCUCAGGAACACACUUUGAGUGCUUAAGGGCUUUCCCAGGUGAAAAAUGUUAAAGCAGUCUCUGCUACCUGGAGCCUGGAGGUGAGCCGAUUAGAAAGUUGUGUCCUCUGGGAUUGGAAGUUUGAGCUGAGUAAGUAGUUUUUAGCCAGAUGAUCCAUUUAUAUGCUCUUUAUUUUUUCUUAAAAUUUUCCUGGCUCUGAGGGGUACACAUACACAUACACACACUCAUAAAUUUAGAAUAAAAUAGCAAAUACCUUUGUGUUUUGACACUUGCUGUGUGUAUCUUAAGUAUUCUAUGGCUUUUUGAGAAGUCCGAGGUAGGAGAGUGAAAGAGUUUGGGUCUCUCUUGUGUAAACUAUGACUUUGAAUGGUAAAAACACAUCUAGGAUGCCUAGUUAGUCCUAUUCAUUUAAUCCCUUACCUAUUUCUUCACUCAUGCACCCCAGCCUUGAGCAAGAGUCAACUGAGUCUAUAUGAAACUUAUUAGCCAUUCAGAGGGGGUUAUCAUUGCUUAAUCUAAGGCUGAGGUUCAUCUCUUGGACUAAAUCCAUUUGUUUCUUUUUCCAUAUUGAAACAGAUGUUUAUAGAAAGAUUCCAAGUCUGUGGUCUGAGCUUGAUGGAAAAUAGCAGAGCAACACAAUUGAUGAGUGAUGUGUGUGCUGGUCAUGGCGUGGGGGCGGGGGAAUAUCCUCACAGUAGUAGAACUGCUUAUUUGACGUCCCUGAUAAGGCAUGUGGUUAUGCUGAAACCACGUUGUCAACAGAUAACCUUUGCAUCCUAUGAUUUGGUUAUCAUCCAUUGUCAGAUACUUAAAUAUUGGUUAAAGCUAUUGUAAAAAUGAUUUGCGUCAAAUGCCAUUUUAUAAUUUUUUUAGUACUAAAAUUGCUCUUUAGGCUGUGUACCCAGAGUAACUGGGCCACAAUUCCAGCGAAAUAUCUGGAUUGUGCUAAAAAUAAAUGCAAUGUUAUGCCUUUAAGUCUCUUCUCAGUGCUUAGACUGAUUACCCCUCAAAUUCCUUAGUAACAAAUUCUUUGAAAUGCAGGGGCUGUUAUAAUGUAUUAAGAUUUAUUUGUAAUUAGAAACUCCUAUUUACAAGCAAUUGAUGGAGUCAUUAAAAGUCUUCAGUAAGUUAAACAUAUAUUUUGCAGUUUUGAUUACAAGCACUUUCUUCAUCAUUGUGAUGAAGUUAAACUUUUUUUUUUUUUUGUCUUUUUGCCUUUUCUAGGGCUGUUUCUGCGGCAUAUGGAGAUUCCCAGGCUAGGGGUCUAAUUGGAGCCCUAGCCACCGGCCUACACCAGAGCCACAGCAACACAGGAUCCGAGCCGCGUCUGCAACCUACACCUCACGGCGAUGCUGGAUCCUUAACCCACUGAGCAAGGCCAGAGAUUGAACCUGCAACCUCAUGGUUCCUAGUCAGAUUCGUUAACCACUGUGCCACUAUGGGAACUCCAAGUGAUGAAGUUAAACUUUUAGUCUAACCCUUGGAAAUGUCAAAAAUUUUAAAUUAAUUGAGUCUGAAUCAUGAUUUUGUUAUAUUCCUAGAACUGUAUAAUAAAGCAGUACUAAUAAUAACAAUCAGGAUUCCUCUUUCAUGCAUUACACUCAGUUUGUUGGAACAGAAGAGAUUCAACACAAUAUAAACGCCCACUGGAGGGGAAAAGCAUAUCCAAAAUUAUCCAGUGGUUUACUCAACCAUAAACUACAAUUUUUAGAGUGACAUAAAAUAUUCUGGGCACUUGUGCAUAUUCUGAUGUAUAUGUUCUUCUGAUGGUGGCAGUUGUAUAUUGUUUUGCUUUGUUUUGUUUUCUUGUUCCCCAUACAAAUCCAAAUAAGAGCUUUUCUGACUUGGUAGUAGAAAGUGAGGAUAGAGAGCUGGAUGAGCUAUUCCCCACUUCUGAGUUGUAUAUAAUGUGUUUGGCUACUCUGUGUUCACCUCUUCGUAAAUUUAGAUGGCUGGCUCUGGCUGCUAUAAGAAGGCAUGUAUCAUAGCUGUACAACAUAAGAAUGCAAAAUCUAUCACAGUUGUACUACUGUAAAUUCAGCGCCUAUUGCUAUAUAAUUACAAUGCUGCAUUUGAAGAAAAUAAAAAAGCU
rnacentral:lncRNA from 1 species